UGGCUCAGAACGAACGCUGGCGGCAUGCUUAACACAUGCAAGUCGCACGGUCGGGGGCAACCCCGGCAGUGGCGGACGGGUGAGUAACGCGUAGGUAUCUAUCCUUGGGUGGGGGACAACCGCGGGAAACUGCGGUUAAUACCGCAUGACGAGCCUGGUCGGGAGACCGGGUUCCAAAGCUCGCAAGAGCGCCUGGGGCGGAGCCUGCGUCCGAUUAGCUUGUUGGUGGGGUAACGGUCCCUCCAAGGCACCUGGUGAAAGCUGGUCUGAGAGGAUGAUCAGCCACACUGGGACUGUGUCCCUUCCCAGACGGAUACGGGAGGCAUCAGU
rnacentral:rRNA from 1 species